GAUGAACGCUGGCGGCGUGCCUAAUACAUGCAAGUCGAGCGAACAGACGAGGAGCUUGCUCCUCUGACGUUAGCGGCGGACGGGUGAGUAACACGUGGAUAACCUACCUAUAAGACUGGUAUAACUUCGGGAAACCGGAGCUAAUACCGUAUAAUAUAUUGAACCGCAUGGUUCAAUAGUGAAAUACGGUUUUGCUGUCACUUAUAGAUGGAUCCGCGCCGCAUUAGCUAGUUGGUAAGGUAACGGCUUACCAAGGCAACGAUGCGUAGCCGACCUGAGAGGGUGAUCGGCCACACUGGAACUGAGACACGGUCCAGACUCCUACGGGAGGCAGCAGUAGGGAAUCUUCCGCAAUGGGCGAAAGCCUGACGGAGCAACGCCGCGUGAGUGAUGAAGGUCUUCGGAUCGUAAAACUCUGUUAUUAGGGAAGAACAAAUGUGUAAGUAAAUAUGCACGUAUUGACGGUACCUAAUCAGAAAGCCACGGCUAACUACGUG
rnacentral:rRNA from 1 species